rnacentral:tRNA from 1 species
UGGGAUGUAGCUCAGUGGCAGAGUGCUUGCCUAGCUUGCAGGGGACCCUGGGUUCCAACCCCAGUGCUGCAA